rnacentral:rRNA from 1 species
CCUACGGGAGGCAGCAGUGAGGAAUAUUGGUCAAUGGACGAGAGUCUGAACCAGCCACGUAGCGUGAAGGAUGACUGCCCUAUGGGUUGUCAACUUCUUUUAUAUGGGAAUAACAUGUUCCACGUGUGGGAGUUUGUAUGUACCAUAUGAAUAAGGAUGGGCUAACUCCGUGCCAGCAGUCGCAGUAAUACGUAGGAUCCGAGCGUUAUCCGGAUUUAUUGGGUUUAAAGGGAGUGUAGGUGGGUUGUUAAGUCAGUUGUGAAAGUUUGCGGCUCAACCGUAAAAUUGCAGUUGAAACUGGCAGUCUUGAGUACAGUAGAGGCGGGCGGAAUUCGUGGUGUAGCGGUGAAAUGCGUAGAUAUCACGAAGAACUCCGAUUGCGAAGGCAGCUCACUGGACUGCAACUGACACUGAGGCUUGAAAGUGUGGGUAUCAAACAGGAUUAGAUACCCCUGUAGUC